rnacentral:tRNA from 1 species
ACUUGGCUGGUUCAGUUGGUGGAACAUCUGACUCUGGAUCUCAGGGUCAUGAGUUCAAGCCCCAUGUUGGGCA